rnacentral:rRNA from 1 species
GGGGGGGGGGGGGGGGGGGGGGGGGGCGGGGGCGGCGGGGGGGGGGGCGGGGGGCUUGGUGCGCGGGGGGUGGCGGCGGACGGGUGAGUAACGCGUGGAUAACCUACCUAUAAGACGGGGAUGCCAUCGGGCAACCGGCGCUAAUCCCGGCGAAUAUUUUGCACCGCAUGGUUCAACAGUGGAAGACGGUCUUGCUGCCACCUAUAGAUGGACCCGCGCUUCAUUAGCUAGUUGGCAAGGGAACGGCUUACCAAGGUAUCGAUGCAUAGCCGACCUGAGAGCGUGCUCGGCCACACUGGAACUGAGACAGCGUCGCGACUCCUAGGGGGAGAAGCAGUAGGGACUCUUCCGCAAUGCACGAAUGCCUGACGGAGCAACGCCGCGUGAGUGAUGAAGGUCUUCGGAUCGUAAAACUCUGUUAUGAUGGAAGAACAUAUGUGUAAGUAACUGUGCACAUCUUGACGGUACCUAAUCAGAAAGCCACGGCUAACUACGUG